UUUCUCUUCCAUGCCUUGAGUGUAGGACCGUUGACAUCUUAAUUACCCUCCCACACCCAAGGCUUGCAGGAGAGC
ncrna:Mus musculus (house mouse) microRNA mmu-mir-532 precursor